rnacentral:lncRNA from 1 species
AAUUGAGAGCACGGGCUUGGAGAUCCGGGCUGGAGUCUUCGCUCCACCACUUACCAACGACAUGGCAACUGAGAUGAAGGUGACCCAGCUGCUGCCCGGAAGCCAGCCAGUCCCAUCUGCCGAGCCUUUGGCUUCCCCUCUCCAGGCCUCCUUCCUCCUGAGAGUCUGUGAGGCAAAGUCGUCCUUCCUCACCUACAGGGAGGCAGGCAUUGGUGCAAGGUCAGAAGUCGUUUAUCAUCGUGUACCGGCCCUCAGGCCCUGCGCUGAUUGCUUCACAUUCAUUUAAUCCUGUUUCUCUCCAGGAACAGGCUGACCACAGGUGGGAAACACACCUACAAAGUAUCCAUCACAGCUGACAGAAGAAUGGAACAAUGUGAUGCCUGGAGACUAACAUCCCUGGACCCCCUCCUCACUGCCCGUUUUCCCUAUGUAACUGCCUCAAGAUUCUGUAAUCCCUGAAGAUGGGUUUUUGAGACAUUAGUCACCCGUCUUCCAAUUUGCUAGCUAAUCUGAC